GAUGAACGCUGGCGGCGUGCCUAAUACAUGCAAGUCGAGCGAACGGACGAGGAGCUUGCUCCUCUGACGUUAGCGGCGGACGGGUGAGUAACAAGUGGAUAACCUACCUAUAAGACUGGGAUAACUUCGGGAGACAGGAGCUAAUACCGGAUAAUAUAUUGAACCGCAUGGUUCAGUAGUGCAAGACAGUUUUGCUGUCCCAUUUAGAUGGAUCCGCGCCGCAUUAGCUAGUUGGUAAGGUAACGGCUUACCAAGGCGACGAUGCGUAGCCGACCUGAGAGGAUGAACGGCCACACUGGAACUGAGACACGGUCCAGACUCCUACGGGAGGCAGCAGUAGGGAAUCUUCCGCAAUGGGCGAAAGCCUGACGGAGCAACGCCGCGUGAGUGAUGAAGGUCUUCGGAUCGUAAAACUCUUUUAUUAGGAAAGAACAAAUGUGUAUGUAACUAUGCACGUCUUGACGGUACCUAAACAGAAAGCCACGGCUAACUUCGUG
rnacentral:rRNA from 1 species